CCCUUAGAUGUCCUGGGCCGCACGCGCGCUACACUGAGUGUCUGAGAUACGAGUCUGCCUGGUCCGGCAAGGUCUAGGUAAUCGCUAAAAGACACAUCAUGCUUGGGAUAGAUUUUUGCAAAUAUUAAUCUUGAACGAGGAAUUCCUAGUAAACGCGAGUCAUCAGCUCGCAUUGAUUACGUCCCUGCCCUUUGUACACACCGCCCGUCGCACCUACCGAUUGAAUGGUUCGGUGAAGAUCUCGGACUUCGAUAUUUAUUCUUUAUUGAGUUUAUAUUGUGGGAAGUUAUCUAAACCUCAUCAUUUAGAGGAAGGUGAAGUCGUAACA
rnacentral:rRNA from 1 species